rnacentral:rRNA from 1 species
GAUGAACGCUGGCGGCGUGCUUAACACAUGCAAGUCGAACGAGAAAUGGAGACGGAAACCUUCGGGCGGAAGGCUUCAUUUCGAGUGGCGGACGGGUGAGUAACGCGUGGGUAACCUGCCUCAUACAGGGGGAUAACAGUUGGAAACGACUGUUAAUACCGCAUAAGACCACAGCACCGCAUGGUGCGGGGGUAAAAACUCCGGUGGUAUGAGAUGGACCCGCGUUCGAUUAGCCAGUUGGCGGGGUAACGGCCCACCAAAGCGACGAUCGAUAGCCGAUCUGAGAGGAUGACCGGCCACAUUGGGACUGAGACACGGACCCAACUCCUACGGGAGGCAGCAGUGGGGAAUAUUGCACAAUGGGGGAAACCCUGAUGCAGCGACGCCGCGUGAGUGAAGAAGUACUUCGGUAUGUAAAGCUCUAUGAGCAGGGAAGAAAGUGACGGUACCUGAGUAAGAAGCCCCGGCUAACUACGUG